rnacentral:lncRNA from 1 species
UUUUAUUUAUGGACAUUUGAAAUUAUGUAAUCAAUCAGUACAUUUUAGUUGGAUUUGAUUUAAUUACAUUAAUCUUUAAUUUUGGCAUUUUUGGGAAUAUUGUACCUUUUUAGGCCUUACAUGAUCUCUAGGGUUUUACUUUAGGGAUUAUGUGGCCGUGUCACGUGGUCGACCCGAGUGAUGGGUUUGGGGCGUGACA